rnacentral:tRNA from 1 species
GCCUCCGUAGCUCAGUCUGGUCAAGAGCAGCGUACUUUUAAUACGCGGGUCGAGAGUUCAAAUCUCUCCGGGGGCAC